rnacentral:rRNA from 1 species
CAUAAUCAUUAGUCUUUUAAUUGAGGACUGGAAUGAAAGAAUAAACCGGGAGAAUCUUUUUUUGGGUAAGAAUAUAAAGUUUAUUUUUUAGUAAGAAAGCUAAAAUAAUUCUUUUAGACGAGAAGACCCUAUAAAACUUUAUAUUUUUUUUAUUUGAGGAAAAUAAGAAAGUAUUUUACUGGGGCGGUGAGGAAAUAGAGCUUUCCUUGAAAAAAAAGACAAACAUGUUUUUAUACCUAAAAUUUUUAAAAAAGGAAUAAGUUACUUUAGGGAUAACAGCUUUAUACACUUUGAAAGACCAAAUUGACAAGUGUGUUUAUGACCUCGAUGUUGAAUUAAAAUUCCUCUUUUAUGCAGUAG